CUCCUUUUCCGGUUCAUAAGCAUGAUUACUCGGUGUUCACACAUUUGUGUGACAUGUGCUUCCCUUAAGUCUUGUAAUACACUGGCACAUUACCCAUCUGACA